GGAGGCAUGGCCGAAUGGUAGGGUGUCUGCCUGGCAAGCACAAGGCCCUGAGUUCAAAACCUAGUACUACUA
rnacentral:tRNA from 1 species